rnacentral:lncRNA from 1 species
UUGGGCUGAGCUGAGCUGAGCUAGGCUGCAUUGAGCAGGCUGAGCUGGGCUGAGCUGGCCUGGGGUGAGCUGGGCUAGGUGGAGCUGAGCUGGGUCGAGCUGAGUUGGGCUGAGCUGGCCUGGGUUGAGGUAGGCUGAGCUGAGCUGAGCUAGGCUGGGUUGAGCUGGCUGGGCUGGUUUGCGCUGGGUCAAGCUGGGCCGAGCUGGCUGGGAUGAGCUGGGCUGAUUUGGGCUGAGCUGAGCUGAGCUAGGCUGCAUUGAGCAGGCUGAGCUGGGCUGAGCUGGCCUGGGGUGAGCUGGGCUGAGCUAAGCUGAGCUGGGCUGGUUUGGGCUGAGCUGGCUGAGCUGGGUCCUGCUGAGCUGGGCUGAGCUGACCAGGGGUGAGCUGGGCUGAGUUAGGCUGGGCUCAGCUAGGCUGGGUUGAUCUGGCAGGGCUGGUUUGCGCUGGGUCAAGCUGGGCCGAGCUGGCCUGGGUUGAGCUGGGCUGGGCUGAGCUGAGCUAGGCUGCAUUGAGCUGGCUGGGCUGGAUUGAGCUGGCUGAGCUGGCUGAGCUGGGCUGAGCUGGGCUGGGUUGAGCUGGCUGGGCUGGUUUGCGCUGGGUCGAGCUGGGCCGAGCUGGCCUGGGAUGAGCUGGGCUGGUUUGAGCUGAGCUGAGCUGAGCUGAGCUAGGCUGCAUUGAGCUGGCUGGGCUGGAUUGAGCUGGCUGAGCUGGCUGAGCUGGGCUGAGCUGGGCUGGGUUGAGCUGGCUGGGCUGGUUUGCGCUGGGUCAAGCUGGGCCGAGCUGGCCUGGGUUGAGCUGGGCUGGGCUGAGCUGAGCUAGGCGGGGUUGAGCUGGGCUGGGCUGAGCUGAGCUAGGCUGCAUUGAGCUGGCUGGGCUGGAUUGAGCUGGCUGGGCUGGCUGAGCUGGCUGAGCUGGGCUGAGCUGGCUGGGCUGAGCAGAGCUGGGUUGUGCUGAGCUGGGUUGAGCUGGGCUCAGCAGCGCUGGGUUGAGCUGAGCUGGGUUGAGCUGGGGUGAGCUGGGCUGAGCAGAGCUGGGUUGUGCUGAGCUGGGUUGAGCUGGGCUGAGCAGAGCUGGGCUGAGCUGAGCUGGGCUGAGCUGAGCUGGGUUGAGCUGGGCUGAGCUAGGCUGGGCUCAGCUAGGCUGGGUUGAGCUGAGCUGGGCUGAACUGGGCUGAGCUGGGCUGAACUGGGCUGAGCUGGGCUGAGCUGGGCUGAGCAGAGCUGGGCUGAGCAGAGCUGGGUUGUGCUGAGCUGGGUUGAGCUGGGCUGAGCUGGGCUGAGCAGAGUUGGGUUGAGCUGAGCUGGGUUCAGCUGGGCUGAGCUAGGCUGGGUUGAGCUGGGUUGAGUUGGGCUGAGCUGGGCUGGGUUGAGCGGAGCUGGGCUGAACUGGGCUGAGCUGGGCUGAGCGGAACUGGGUUGAUCUGAAUUGAGCUGGGCUGAGCCGGGCUGAGCCGGGCUGAGCUGGGCUAGGUUGAGCUUGGGUGAGCUUGCCUCAGCUGGUCUGAGCUAGGUUGGGUGGAGCUAGGCUGGAUUGAGCUGGGCUGAGCUGAGCUGAUCUGGCCUCAGCUGGGCUGAGGUAGGCUGAACUGGGCUGUGCUGGGCUGAGCUGAGCUGAGCCAGUUUGAGCUGGGUUGAGCUGGGCUGAGCUGGGCUGUGUUGAUCUUUCCUGAACUGGGCUGAGCUGGGCUGAGCUGGCCUAGCUGGAUUGAACGGGGGUAAGCUGGGCCAGGCUGGACUGGGCUGAGCUGAGCUAGGCUGAGCUGAGUUGAAUUGGGUUAAGCUGGGCUGAGAUGGGCUGAGCUGGGCUGAGCUGGGUUGAGCCAGGUCGGA